GGUCCUCCACCUCAACAGGAGCAAGUUCAUCCAUCCCAUUUUGUGUUGUGCUGCCAUUUGAGGACACUGCGUAGACUGACUUCCUGCCAUCGUCAUAGACUUUAAUUCCUGUCUCUUUAAACUCCUUUGAGGGAACAGCAUGUGCUGUACUCUUCAGCGCAGAAGGCCUGAAAUGCUUGGGAAGGUCAGGUAUCACAGAACUCAGAAUUGAGAUGUGAAGAAAAAUGUAUUCAGGAGGAAAGUAAAUGCUAAAAAAAUAUUUAAAAGCAGCUAACAUUUUGGACCUGAUCUCUGCAAGAUGUCUUUACCUGAUCAAAGGUCUGGACUCUAAACACUCCUAGGCACACAGGUGGAAGAAGAGGAGGAAAAAUCCUGGAAAGCGUUUGUUAUUUGAGAGGGGAAAAUAAGUAGUAUGGAGGUGUGGAUGAAAGAAGGAACCUUAGAAGCCAAGAUAUUCAAUUGGAAGUUUCUCUGCCAAAAUAGUAGCUGAAUUAAGAAAUUCUACGGGGAACACCUGACUACUGCUGGCCACCAGCUAAUCUGCUGGGGUUGGCACCACUGCCACCCCUGAAUAAAAAUAAACAGCUUAAGAAUGAAAAGCAGAUAGGAGGCUACCACCUGGAGAACACCGGACAGAGAGGAAAAGGCAGUUUAACAAGUCCUCACAUGCUUUGAGGUAUGCUGUUUAGCAACUGAUUCCAUCAAGAAUGAGUGCCAUUUGCUGAAAACUAAAUGAUAAAACGGGACUCCAAAUUCUUCAUUCAGCUUGUACCCUGACCAAGGACAGGCUCACUUGGCUUGCUGUAACUUCUGCCAUGUAUAGAGGCUGAACAGGACAGAAGAAAGUGCAAUAAGACCUCAUGAUUGUGCUGCACCCUGUACCAAUGGGCAAACAUACUUCCACUGUGCAUCUGUCUGCAUGUGGCCUUGAAUCUCUGACAGUAGAGGAAUGGAGAGGAGAGAAAUUUUACUGAAGAUCCCUCACUGAAAAUGUCUACUGCAGCGUCCUGUCAAUUGACCCAAAGGUUUGCAGUCUGGGAUACCUCAGCUGAUUGAGAAACACUCUCUUUUCCAGCUAGAACCAAGAAUUUGCAUUUUAAAGGGCUCACAUGUAUGAGAGACAUAAUGUAAAUGACAGUACUAGUUUACAAUUAUUGUAAUUCAAACCCAGUGCUGCUUAGAGCUAAACCAACAGCACCGCGUUCAUGGUGGUUGAGAUUUUGAUGUACCCUUGUGCAGCAGGAAGACUGUGCUUGUGAAGUCAAACUGUAAGUGGCCUUUUGUACUCCUCAGUGUUUUGAUCUGAGGCUUUUUUUUCAAAAUACUGAAACUGAUUGAAAGCAACUCAAUCUAGACCCGUCUGAUUGAACUGGUAAUGGCUUACUGUUAGGUGUCGUGAUCAGAGAAUUUUUGCCUAAGGAUUAAUAUAUUGGCUGGGCAAAUAAUAUAAUCACUGAAAAUUCUUCUUUGCUCUGUUAAACAUGAAUAAAAAAAUGCUAGCAACUUACAUCUUCAUUACCAUAUAAAAACUUUUUUGCAAGAGAAACUUGUGAUAUAGAAGUAGAGAAUAAAUUGACAACACUUUAAAGAAGAGUUGAGUGAACAGCAAAAUUAUUUUUGUGUGUUUUUUCUCUCCGCUCAGGGCUAUGAGGGAUCAGAAUUAGUGUUCAUAGGCCUGCAUUAAAUGAAGAGUGAGUAAUGCUACACAGUCAAGAAAGAGUUUAUACAUCUACCAUAUCGUAUUGAAGUUUGACAGAGUUUCUAGUGACUUCAAACAAACUAC